UUUCUCUGUGAACUGAGAUCACCCUGCACGGAUGCAUGUCGUCAGCCUUCGCUCUGGCGGCAGAGCCUGCCUUACGGGCACAGGAAAGAGAAUUUGCACGGCCUGGGGGCAGGCCAGCUCUGGGUGAGCUCAGCGUGUCCGCUCAUUCCCUUUGUUUCAUGUCGUGUGUGAGUCACCCGUCAUCCCACAGGGCGGACCGGCAGAGGUGGCCGGAGGUCCAGCAGCUUCUGGGCAAUGUUGUGGAGCCACACGUCAUGGAGCUUUUGGAAACUUUGGGUCUAUAUAUACUUGUGAGAGAAAAGAGUGGAAAGGCAGUAAUGUAUUGCUGUGGAAAUAGUUUUGACCUCGUGGGCCCUCUGCCCGAGUUUCCUGGAUCACACUUCAGGAACCAUUGUUCCAGCACCAACUACUGCUUCUUGGUGUUCCCCCUGGGUUCAUCAGAUGGACCUGGAUGAAGACACUGCUGAAAAUUUUUACCAAAUUUGCUAGAAUGUGAAACGCGUAUUAGGUCGACUGUUCACAUCUCAUAUCUGAAACUGAGGAUGAAGCUCCCUGAAACACCGCCACCUCCCACCCACAUGCCGAGAGCUGCCAUGUUAGUGGGAGCAUUUGUAGUGAACCAGCCCAGGUGCCCUGAGACCAUGGGGCACCUGGCUUUCACGGCCAGUUUCUAAGUGAUGCAGCUGUUGGGACCCAGAGCAUGUUCGCAGCAGGGGCACGACGAUGGGAGGACUGGUGCCUAGUUCAUACAACAUCUAAUUAAGGAAAUUUUCUCCUAUAAGUCUCAGGAUCCAGAAAGUGUGAUAUGAGCACGUGGAAACGAGAAUGAGAAGGCUAAAAUGGAGCCACGUGGAAAGGAAAGAGGUGCUGUUCCAAGUGCUUGCUGAAUCCUCAGAUAACUUCACAAGGUAGGGAACGUCUUUCCCAUUUUACAUGUGAGGAAACUGAGGCACAGACAGGUCCAGCAAGCCACCCAAGACCUCACUGCUAGGAAGUGACAGAGUCAGUGUUUCAACCCUGACAGUCUGGGUCCAGAGUCUAUGUUCUUAGCCACCAUGUUUUUUUUUUUAAGUUUAUUGUUAUUUAUUUUGAGAGAGAGAGAAAGAACAAGACGGGGAGGGGCAGAAAGAGGGAGACAGAAUCCCAAGCAGGCUCUGUGCUGUCAGCACAGAGCCCAAGGGGGGCCCAAACUCACAAACUGUGAGAUCAUGACCUGAGCCGAAAUCAAGAGUCAGACGCUUAACUGACUGAGCCACCCAGAUGCCCCAAGCCACCAUAUUUUAAUGGGAUCAUUGAGAAGGGAGUUCUUCUUCUCAAUUUUUACUGAAUGGUGUAGACAGCUUUGGAAAGUCCGGGAUUCUGGACACAACUGUGUAGUCCUUCGUUCUGGGACGACCAGUAGCUACGAACUAGGAACUAGUUUUUGAAGUUAGUUACAUUAUUUUUGUUAUCACUACUUAACGCUAUAGUCUCUGUGAACCAGAUAGCCUUCUGAGCGAUGUAUACAUUUGGAAAGGGUUAUUCUGUGGAGACUGGGGGUGUUUUGGAAGAGCAAUGUUAUCAAGAAUGGGAGCACACAGCUUAUAGGUAAAGAGACCUCUUUGGGAAAAUGACAGAAAUAUUUGCCCUUUGGCUUAUGGAGUCAAAAGAAAACACAGUACCAAUACACCACAAUGGCUUAUUUGAAAUUUUCUAAUCGAAGCCAGAUCUGCAGGCUCUAGUGGGAACACACGUUAAAGCCCAAGAAGGGUGGUUGAGAAGUUCCUUUUGCCCAGAAGGCAAGGAGGCCCUCCGUGUCUCCAACAUUGGAGAGUGUUGAAAAUGGCGGAAUGCUCUGUCCUCAGCCCUCUCGGAGGGCGGCCAUCAGUUCGAGGAUAGCUGCUCUGUGGUCGCUAAGCCCGGGGGUCUUUUUUUGGCUGUUUUCACUUCCCUUUCCUAAGGCGGCUUGCGCAUUGACAGUUGCUCAAUCCAUGGUUGUUGACCAGGUGUAAAAAAAAAAAAAAAGAGGUGAAACCAAAUCCACCCAGAUGUAGUGAAAGGACAGCGGAAGGAGACAUAAGAAAGAAGGCAAUGAAGAACUUAAGCGAGGCAGAGCUCAUCUGAAACACAGAAGUGACUGGAAGCCUGAGAGGUAUUAGCUCAAAAAGGCUUGUUGUGUGAGCCUGUCCAGCGAGCUGUGUACAUGAGGAAGGAGGGCUGUGGAAGGGAGGGCAGCCUGAAAUCCAGGUCGGGUCAGGGUCUUGCUUCCUUGGGAUUCAGGCCCCUGAGAGAGCCCUCUUAGGAGGUGACGGUGUCACUCUGGCCUCAGCCCGAUGGCUCGCCGCCCUGCCUGUCCCCAGAGCCGGAGGCCUCACCUUCCCGCAGCCUCUGCAGUUCUUUCUGGAGCUGUCUCUGCUCGCGGGUCAGCAACUUC